CACGUAGGGGGCGAGCGUUGUCCGGAUUCAUUGGGCGUAAAGCGCGCGCAGGCGGCUCGGAAAGUCGGGUGUGAAAACUCGGGGCUCAACCCCGGGCGUGCAUCCGAUACUGCCGGGCUUGAGGCAGGUAGGGGAGAUCGGAAUUCCUGGUGUAGCGGUGAAAUGCGCAGAUAUCAGGAGGAACACCGGUGGCGAAGGCGGAUCUCUGGGCCUGUCCUGACGCUGAGGCGCGAAAGCAUGGGGAGCGAACAGG
rnacentral:rRNA from 1 species